UCUAAAUGAAUUAAAACUUUCAACAACGGAUCUCUUGGUUCUGGCAUCGAUGAAGAACGCAGCGAAAUGCGAUAAGUAAUGUGAAUUGCAGAAUUCAGUGAAUCAUCGAAUCUUUGAACGCACAUUGCGCCCUCUGGUAUUCCAGAGGGCAUGCCUGUUCGAGCGUCAUUUCAACCCUCAA
rnacentral:rRNA from 3 species